GUGCUCAAUUUGCCAGCACAAAUACUAAAAUUGGAAUGAUACAGAGAAUAAUAGCAUAGCUCCUGCACAACGAUGGCCCCCAAAUCCAGGAAAUGUUGCAUGUUUUU